rnacentral:rRNA from 1 species
GAGUUUGAUCAUGGCUCAGGAUGAACGCUGGCGGCGUGCCUAAUACAUGCAAGUCGAACGAAACUUCUUUAUCACCGAGUGCUUGCACUCACCGAUAAAGAGUUGAGUGGCGAACGGGUGAGUAACACGUGGGCAACCUGCCCAAAAGAGGGGGAUAACACUUGGAAACAGGUGCUAAUACCGCAUAACCAUAGUUACCGCAUGGUAACUAUGUAAAAGGUGGCUAUGCUACCGCUUUUGGAUGGGCCCGCGGCGCAUUAGCUAGUUGGUGGGGUAAAGGCUUACCAAGGCAAUGAUGCGUAGCCGAACUGAGAGGUUGAUCGGCCACAUUGGGACUGAGACACGGCCCAAACUCCUACGGGAGGCAGCAGUAGGGAAUCUUCCACAAUGGGCGAAAGCCUGAUGGAGCAACGCCGCGUGGGUGAAGAAGGUCUUCGGAUCGUAAAACCCUGUUGUUAGAGAAGAAAGUGCGUGAGAGUAACUGUUCACGUUUCGACGGUAUCUAACCAGAAAGCCACGGCUAACUACGUGCCAGCAGCCGCGGUAAUACGUAGGUGGCAAGCGUUAUCCGGAUUUAUUGGGCGUAAAGGGAACGCAGGCGGUCUUUUAAGUCUGAUGUGAAAGCCUUCGGCUUAACCGGAGUAGUGCAUUGGAAACUGGGAGACUUGAGUGCAGAAGAGGAGAGUGGAACUCCAUGUGUAGCGGUGAAAUGCGUAGAUAUAUGGAAGAACACCAGUGGCGAAAGCGGCUCUCUGGUCUGUAACUGACGCUGAGGUUCGAAAGCGUGGGGAGCAAACAGG